GACGAACGCUGGCGGCGUGCCUAAUACAUGCAAGUUGAGCGCUGAAGGUUGGUACUUGUACCGACUGGAUGAGCAGCGAACGGGUGAGUAACGCGUGGGGAAUCUGCCUUUGAGCGGGGGACAACAUUUGGAAACGAAUGCUAAUACCGCAUAAAAACUUUAAACACAAGGUUUAAGUUUGAAAGAUGCAAUUGCAUCACUCAAAGAUGAUCCCGCGUUGUAUUAGCUAGUUGGUGAGGUAAAGGCUCACCAAGGCGAUGAUACAUAGCCGACCUGAGAGGGUGAUCGGCCACAUUGGGACUGAGACACGGCCCAAACUCCUACGGGAGGUAGCAGUAGGGAAUCUUCGGCAAUGGACGAAAGUCUGACCGAGCAACGCCGCGUGAGUGAAGAAGGUUUUCGGAUCGUAAAACUCUGUUGGUAGAGAAGAACGUUGGUGAGAGUGGAAAGCUCAUCAAGUGACGGUAACUACCCAGAAAGGGACGGCUAACUACGU
rnacentral:rRNA from 1 species